UACGUAGGUGGCAAGCGUUAUCCUGAUUUAUUGGGCGUAAAGCGAGCGCAGGCGGUUUGAUAAGUCUGAUGUGAAAGCCUUUGGCUUAACCAAAGAAGUGCAUCGGAAACUGUCAGACUUGAGUGCAGAAGAGGACAGUGGAACUCCAUGUGUAGCGGUGGAAUGCGUAGAUAUAUGGAAGAACACCAGUGGCGAAGGCGGCUGUCUGGUCUGCAACUGACGCUGAGGCUCGAAAGCAUGGGUAGCGAAC
rnacentral:rRNA from 1 species